UACGUAGGGCGCAAGCGUUUGUCCGGAAUUAUUGGGCGUAAAGAGCUCGUAGGCGGCUUGUCACGUCGGGUGUGAAAGCCCGGGGCUUAACCCCGGGUCUGCAUUCGAUACGGGCUAGCUAGAGUGUGGUAGGGGGAGAUCGAAUUCCUGGUGUAGCGGUGAAAAUGCGCAGAUAUCAGGAGGAACACCGGUGGCGAAGGCGGAUCUCUGGGCCAUUACUGACGCUGGAGGAGCGAAAGGCGUGGGGAGCGAACAGGAUUAGACUACCC
rnacentral:rRNA from 1 species